ensembl:miRNA Mir6769b microRNA 6769b
UGCUCCUGGUGGGUGGGGAAGAGCCUAGUUCACAUCAGGCAUCUUCCCUGUCCCACCCAG